GAAGGAGUCGUGCCCUCGCAAGGGCGCGCGCGACUUCGUCUCGAGAACGACGGAGACGCAGUCAGGGGCAUGCGCUAUGCAGCGUCAUCGCCCCGGCGUAUGGUCUCGGCGCCCACGCCACCUCCGUUGCCGUCCCCAUGCUCCGCCUACAAUACCACCGCAUCCGAGCUCCGACGCCCAUGCUCCGACGCCGCCGUUGUCGCUAGGGCCCACC
rnacentral:lncRNA from 1 species